UACGGAGGAUGCGAGCGUUAUCCGGAUUUAUUGGGUUUAAAGGGUGCGUAGGCGGGCUUUUAAGUCAGCGGUAAAAAUUCGGGGCUCAACCCCGUCCGGCCGUUGAAACUGGGGGUCUUGAGUGGGCGAGAAGUAUGCGGAAUGCGUGGUGUAGCGGUGAAAUGCAUAGAUAUCACGCAGAACUCCGAUUGCGAAGGCAGCAUACCGGCGCCCGACUGACGCUGAGGCACGAAAGCGUGGGGAGCAAACAGG
rnacentral:rRNA from 1 species